CAUAUCUAUCCACAAAACACAUACAAGUGUAUAACAAAUAAUGUCCCACGCAGAUAUUCCACCGUGGAGGUUUGGUUACGGCUAGAAACGUCAAGCGUGGUGGCCAGUUGAUGGGGGUGGACAUGCUCUUUGAUGCUCAGGCCACUCUCAUGCCGGCCACCGUGAAUGUUCACCGGCUCCCUGCUUUCAGGAAACUUCUCAAGGCUGGUUCAUUGUUCACACUAGGUGGAUUUGAAUCGGUUCAUUGUUCGAUGCGUUAACCAAACCGUUUCACCAGCACAUAACUUCCAGGUACAUCCUUGUAACUAGUAAAUAAUAAUGCUAACCCUCAUCUUGCAGAUAUUCUUGGUGAGCUAAUUGUUGUGAAAAGUACAAUGAGUGACAGCCCCCAAGGAAAGAACGUGUCAUGGCAACUAUCAAACUCGAUAAUGAUGUGUCUGUGACUUUGAGUCUGCUUGAGUUGCAAUUUGUGUCGUUUCACAACAAAACUGGAAGGCUUUCGGGGUGAUUCCUCCCAGAUUUGUUUUCACAACUAGCUAGCCUAAAUCCUAAGAUUGUAAAAGGUACUAAAUUUAAAUCGAUUAUGUCUGCGUCUUGCUCUAGAAUUUAUUCUUCUUUCCUUGGUUAAAUGUGCUACCUAAUAGCUUUUUG